CUGACAUACAUUCAUUUCUUAGGCUUUACACACCGUAUGCAGUUCUCAGUGGUCAGCCUAUCUCCUCAUGCUGUGGCUUAAAGAUGUAUUCAUGUCAUGACACCGUCAACCAUAUCGCACAGCCUGGGAGAACCUAAGCAGAAUCGAGACAAUAUUGGUAUCAUGAUUUUGAAUCCUUACCACCUUAAGUAACCAGUCUUGGAUACUUGGUUAACAGCAAUAGAAAAUGACCAGUCCA